UGGGGAAUAUUGGACAAUGGGGGCAACCCUGAUCCAGCAAUGCCGCGUGUGUGAAGAAGGCCUUCGGGUUGUAAAGCACUUUCAGUGGGGACAAACAAGGCGGAGCUAACACCUCCGUCCCUGAUGGUACCCAAAGAAGAAGCACCGGCUAACUCUGUGCCAGCAGCCGCGGUAAUACAGAGGUGGCAAGCGUUGUUCGGUAUCACUGGGCUUAAAGGGCGCGUAGGCGGCGUGGUACGGUCCGGGUGAAAUCCCACGGCUCAACCGUGGAACUGCCCGGGCAACGGCCAUGCUUGACGGCAUCAGGGGAAGGUGGAACUCCGGGUGGAGCGGUGAAAUGCGUAGAUAUCAGGAGGAACACCGAUGGCGAAGGCAGCCUCCUGGGCCAGCACUGACGCUCAUGCACGAAAGCGUGGGGAGCAAACAGGAUUAGAUACCCUGGUAGUCCAUACAGUAAACGAUGAUUACUCGAUGUUGGCGAUACACAGUCAGCGUCUUAGCGAAAGCGAUAAGUAAUCCACCUGGGGAGUACGCUGGCAACAGUG
rnacentral:rRNA from 1 species